CAGGAGAUAUUUUAUAUUAAAAUAUAAAUUUUGGGAAUUUAAGAGGAAUAAAAUUGUUCUCUUCUGA
rnacentral:tRNA from 1 species